rnacentral:misc_RNA from 1 species
UACAGAGGGUGCGAGCGUGAAUCGGAUUUACUGGGCGUAAAGCGUGCGUAGGCGGCUUUUUAAGCCGGAUGUGAAAUCCCCGAGCUUAACUUGGGAAUUGCAUUCGAUACUGGGAAGCUAGAGUAUGGGAGAGGAUGGUAGCAUUCCAUGUGUAGCGGUGAAAUGUGUAGAGAUCUGGAGUAACACCGAUGGCGAAGGCAGCCAUCUGGCCUAAUGCUGACGCUGAGGUACGAAAGCAUGGGGAGCAAACAGG